AUGCAUCGGCCGGGAAUCGAACCCGGGGCGCCCGCGUGGCAGGCGAGCAUUCUACCAAUAUUAUGAUGCA
rnacentral:tRNA from 1 species